GGUGUGUGUGUGUGUAUACAUACAUAUAUACAUAUAUACACAUAUAUACAUAUACACACACACACACACACA